GUCAUUCUACUUAAUACUCUCUUCUCUCUCAACAAUCUCCACCCUCCCUUUUGAUUGUUUCUCGUUAAUCUCCUCCUUGCUCCUUUCACUUUAGUGUCAUCCACAUCAAUAAUCUCUUAUCCACUAGAUUUAGAACUUGAUCCUUUAAUUAUUCUUUGUUUGCUUAAAACUUGGCUCUGUUGUCAUGGCUUUGGGUGAUAUAAAAAUCAUGAAUUUAGGGCUAGAUGAUCAUGAGAAA
rnacentral:misc_RNA from 1 species